rnacentral:misc_RNA from 1 species
AACCCAUCACCAUCUUUAAUGGUGGACAUGUCCUUUUUGUUGUUGUUGGUGGCGAUGAUGGUGAUGAUGAUGAUGAUGUCAUCGUCGUCUCGUCGUCGUCAAGGACAAGAAGGGUCAAAGCUAUAGUGCUGCGGGCGCUCUAGAAUAUGUGAUAUUCGUUCAUAUUUGCGAGUGCUGUUGCUGCUGCGUCUACGCGGCACCACGCAUCACCAUAUUAUCAAUCAUUGAAUC